rnacentral:rRNA from 1 species
UACGAGGGGUCAAAGCGUUGUUCGGAAUCAUUGGGCGUAAAGCGGGUGUAGGUGGCCUUAUAAGUCAGAAGUGAAAGCCCUGGGCUCAACCCAGGAAGUGCUUUUGAUACUGUAAGGCUUGAGUAUGGGAGAGGGUAGUAGAAUUCCUGGUGUAGUGGUGAAAUACGUAGAUAUCAGGAGGAAUACCGGUGGCGAAGGCGGCUACCUGGCCCAAUACUGACACUCAGACCCGAAAGCGUGGGGAGCAAACAGG